rnacentral:rRNA from 1 species
UACGAAGGGGGCUAGCGUUGCUCGGAAUCACUGGGCGUAAAGCGCACGUAGGCGGCUUCUUAAGUCAGGGGUGAAAUCCUGGAGCUCAACUCCAGAACUGCCUUUGAUACUGGGGAUCUUGGAGUCCGGGAGAGGUGAGUGGAACUGCGAGUGUAGAGGUGAAAUCGUAGAUAUUCGCAAGAACACCAGUGGCGAAGGCGGCUCACUGGCCCGGUACUGACGCUGAGGUGCGAAAGCGUGGGGAGCAAACAGGG